rnacentral:misc_RNA from 1 species
GGUUUAAAGAAAAUUUAUUUGUCAAGGUCUGAAUUGUAGAGCAAAGAAAUAUAAAAGAAUGUAAGAAGUAAUUGUAUCCCUGGUGAAUUUAGUGUAUUCCAGUAAAAAUUAUCGUACAUUUCCCGGUACUCUGUACACAUUUAAGUGUAUGGUAUAUGGUGCAUCUGCGCGUCUGGAAAGCUCCGAUCAAUAGCGAAGAAAGAUAACUAGAGAGCUCGAAUUUCCCGUUUUAGAUUUAUCACAGUCUACGGCGCAUUUGUUCGUUGUCAUCACAGUGGAAUAAGCGCCCUGGGUGAUAGAGUGAGAGUGAACCAGACAAAGAGCUUUUACUCAGUUUUAGUUAUAACAGCAACAAAUAAUAAUAAUAAAAAGACGCAAGCGCAACAAAAAAUUUGAGCACGAGCUGGAUCGCUGGAUGAUCAGACGCGCGAUUUCUCGGCAAUCGUGAGGGUGUCCUCAAAUAGGCAACAACGCCAUUAUUUAAUUUACCUUUCCAUCAAUAUUCAUCAUCACCAUCAUUAUCAACAUUAUCAAUAUCAUUAUCUUCGUGUUAAUUAUAAUUGAUCAAUCGUUUUAAUUAAUCAAUGUGAAAAUUAAUUUAUUUCAAAAAUCAAUUUAAAAAAAAUGAAUUUAUUAUAUUUUAGUAUUGUUAAAUAAUUUAACGACGUUUACGGUUUUAUUACGAGGUCAAUUUGGUGUAUUUAAUUGUAGAAUUGUAGGACAAGAAAUGCUAGACUGAUAACAACAUCAAAAAUAACAACGACGAGCAAAGGAACAAGGAAAAAAAAAUGCUUAUUAAAGAGUAUAGGAUACCACUUCCUCUCACCGUAGAGGAGUAUCGAAUCGCUCAACUUUAUAUGAUUGCUAAAAAAUCAAGAGACGAAAGCAAGGGCGUUGGUAGUGGAGUUGAAAUAAAAGUUAAUGAACCGUAUACAGAUGGACCCGGAGGAAACGGACAGUAUACUCAUAAAAUUUAUCACGUAGGAAGUCAUUUGCCUGGAUGGUUUAAGAGCUUGUUACCUAAAACCGCGUUGCAGACUCAGGAAGAAGCGUGGAACGCUUAUCCUUAUACUAAAACUCGAUAUACGUGUCCAUUUGUUGAAAAAUUUUCGGUUGAAAUAGAAACGUACUAUUUUCCAGACAACGGGCAUCAAGAAAAUGUAUUCCAGUUGUCUGGUAGUGAUUUGCGUAAUCGAAUUGUUGAUUUUAUUGACGUGGUAAAGGAUAAGCCUGUUGGUGCUGAUUAUGUCCAAGAAGAAGAUCCUUUGCUGUAUGUAUCCCAAAAAACAGGCCGUGGACCGCUUACUGAAAAUUGGCUUCAAGAUUAUUGGGCUGAAGUUCAAGGAAGACCACAACCUACGCUUUCAGGAAAGUCACUGAUGUGUGCGUAUAAACUUUGUAGGGUUGAGUUCCGUUACUGGGGCAUGCAAACCAAGCUGGAAAAAUUCAUUCACGAUGUGGCAUUACGGAAAACUAUGGUACGAGCGCACCGUCAAGCGUGGGCAUGGCAAGAUGAAUGGAUCGGUUUGACAAUGGAAGACAUAAGACAAAUAGAAAAAGAGACUCAAUUGGCACUGCAGCGAAAAAUGGCUGCUGCAGAAGCUGCUGAACGUGGUGAGAUGGCUAUUGAUGGCUACGAGGACAAUCACAGUGACUCAAAUACCCCAGCAGCGACACCACAGGGAGCUACUGAUGUUGCCAAAACAUUUGCUGCAACACUCGGUAGCAUUGAGAAAAACGAAGAUCUCCAAAGUCCGCCGUCUAUUCGUAAACCUUCGGAUAUUCCUGUUAUUAAUACGGCGCGUAGUUCUGAAGGUGAUAUCAGCCCUGAAGAUUCUCCUACUACAGUUUUACCACCUGGGUCAAAAAUUGCUCUUAACAAAUUUGAAACUAAAAAAGUUUGGAAGCACAGCAGUCAUUCAAUUCACUCCCCGAGUUCUGCUAAAAGCUUCGACAUCCAGAUUGCUAAUUGGCGUAUGGAGAGUAUCGUCCGUGAAUCUGAAUCAGGCAGCGAGGAUGAAUUUUUUGAUUGCCAAGCCGCUGGAAUAGUUGUACCUGAGAUACGCACAGCAGAAGACUUUGGUGACAAUACAUCUCUGGCAAAGUGGAGCUCGUUGGACCUCUUGACGGACAAAGAAGACUCCCUGUCGCCUACAGUACCAACAGCAUCAGUAGCUGGAGUAUCAUCUUCAAGCAGCAGGCAUGACGACAGUAUAUUUUCCCACUCAUACUUGCAGCGAGUCGCCAGUGAACGUAGUGGUAAAAGACUUCACAUACGUUCGUCAGCGAGUAUAGAUUUAUCAUGCCCAGCUUCACCUCAACACUCACCAACUCACCAGCCCUGUCGAACAACAGUAUUACUGAUAGUUAUGCAUGCCGGCAGUGUCCUGGAUGCCAAUGUUGAUUUAUCUGCUAAAAAAUCAGACAUAACAACAUUUCGCGGUGCCUUUGAAUCUGUUAUGCGUCAACAUUAUCCCAGUAUGGUUGGACAUAUUGCUGUAAGAUUUGUCUCAUGUCCAUCAAUAUGUACCGAGGGAUUGGGAAUAUUAUCCAGUUUAAGUCCUUACAGUUUUGACGUGUCACCCUCUUGUGUUGACUCUCCACAAAUUACAAAUGACACUAUUCCAAUAGGAUCCAUCCCACUUUUGGCAUGUUCAUCCUCAGAUUAUCAAGAUGCGGUUUCAAAAGUUAUCACCGGGGCUAAUCAAGUAUUAGGAGAAUUUAUAAAAUCGGAUGAAGGUCGUGGAUUUGCUGGACAAAUAUCAUUUGUCGGUGACUCUGUUGGUUCGAUAUUAACUUACGAUGCGCUCUGUCGGUCCGUUCAAUAUCAAUCGAGACACGACAGUGAAAAUAGUAUUUUAGAAAACGACAAUCAACCUGGAGGUGAUCAAAGUGAAGAUGGCAAACAUUUAACGGCACCUUUACCAAGAAGACGUUCAUCAUCAACCAGCGAUUCAUCUCAGUGUAAAUUAGAAUUUGACGUCAGUGAAUUUUUUAUGUUUGGCAGUCCGCUGGCGUUAGUCCUCGCUUAUCGUAAAAUAUCCUCAAGCAAUGAUAAAGGUACAACGGUUCCUAGGCCGCUUGUUAAUCAAGUCUACAAUCUAUUUCAUCCAACGGAUCCGGUAGCUGCGCGCUUAGAACCUAUUAUAUCAGCUCGAUUUUCACAGUUACCUCCGGUCAAUGUCGCUCGCUAUCAAAAAUAUCCGCUCGGCAACGGACAACCUUAUCAUUUACUUGAAGCCAUUCAAACGAAUCCACAAUUGUUUGCUGAUGGAUUGAAUGCUCCAAACACACCACUUCAGCAUCUAAGAAGAAUGUCUGACAUAUCGCUUCAAAGUACCAUGUCGGGUCUGAUUGAUAAUGUACCUUUACAAGCAGUAUCUUCCUUAACACACAAGUGGUGGGGAAAUAAAAGAAUAGAUUACGCACUCUACUGCCCAGAAGGUCUUGCAAACUUUCCAACAAAUGCAUUACCACAUUUGUUCCACGCAAGUUACUGGGAAUCAUCAGACGUAAUUGCAUUUAUAUUAAGACAAAUUGGUAGAUUUGACUUGCCAAUGCUUGGUGGUGAAGAAAAAGAUUUAGCCUGUUUCCGUCCAGGUCAGCCACGAGAAAAGUGGAAUAAAAAACGAACCUCGGUUAAACUUAAGAAUGUCGCGGCGAAUCAUCGAGCUAAUGACGUAAUCGUACGCGAAGGCUUGCCGCAGAUAUUAAUUGCAAGGUUUAUGUACAGCCCCAUAGAUGUUAUCGCAUUGACUGGCGAAAAGGUUGACAUUCAUGUGAUGAAGGAUGCACCCGCUGGAGAAUGGACAUAUCUAUCAACAGAAGUAACGGAUAAAAAUGGUCGAAUUACUUAUAGAAUACCUGAUGAUAAAGCAUUAUCUUACGGUCUUUAUCCAAUUAAAAUGGUUGUAAGAGGUGAUCACACGUCUGUAGAUUUUUUUAUGGCUGUAAUACCUCCAAAUACAGAGUGUGUGGUGUUCAGUAUUGACGGAUCUUUUACAGCAAGUAUGAGCGUGACAGGACGAGAUCCUAAAGUUCGUGCCGGUGCUGUUGAUGUCGCUAGACAUUGGCAAGAACUUGGAUAUCUAAUAAUAUAUAUAACAGCUCGACCAGACAUGCAGCAGCAAAAAGUAGUAUCUUGGUUAUCACAACACAAUUUUCCACAUGGAUUAGUGUCUUUUGCUGAUGGAUUGUCUCGCGAUCCGCUUGGCCAUAAAGCUGCUUACUUGAACAACUUGAUCCACGAGCACGGAGUAAUAAUUCAUCAGGCGUACGGUAGCAGUAAGGAUAUUGCCGUUUAUACGGCAGUUAAUUUAAAACCCCGGCAAAUCAUUAUUGUCGGGAAAGUGUCGAAGAAGCAUCAAUCACUGGCGACUGUACUCAGUGAAGGAUACGCUGCUCAUUUAACUCAACUGCAAUCUUAUGGUGGAUCAAGACCUGCUCAGGGUAACGCGAGAAUGGUGAUACCUCGAGGACAAUUUGGUUUACCUGGUUUAAAUUCGUCGCUUCGGCGAAGAAGUAAAACGCGUGCGAAUACGAGCCACGGCUCUAUUUUUCCAGUAAGGAGACAACGGUCAGCACAUCAGCUCGCAACAGCGUGUACUUAAAGCGGAAAGUCCCCACCCACAUCUAACACACGUCUAAUUAUAUCUACCUACAAUUUACUCACUUAUACAUUGGUACCUGCUUUGAAGAUUUGUCGGAAUGUCGCGAGUUGAUGUUAAUAAUCGCUCACGACAGAAGCGACAGCGUACAUCACAUUCCACAAUCAGAAUAAUUAUUUUAUCGACAGCAUUGAUAUUAUCCAGAAUUUAUGCACAAUUUCGAUUGAGACCUAGUCGUUGGUGCGGAAAUAAUUCCCAUUCGUUUGAUUCCUGAUGAUGAGGAUGACAGUGACAAUGAUGAUGAUCGAAUUGACGCCAACGAAUUUAUCAGACUAUUUAUCGCGAUGAUUUUGCGAGCAAGUUCUUUUAGGACAGCCAAACGUACCAUAUCAUCUUCAAUGUUU